rnacentral:rRNA from 1 species
ACGACCAUAGAGUGUGGAAAACGGCUUCCCGUCCGCUCAGCCGCACUUAAACCACACAUCGACCGGUUAGUAGCUGGGUGCGUGGCCACGAACGAAUCCCGCCUGUUGUAUGUU